rnacentral:rRNA from 1 species
AGUGAACGCUGGCGGUAGGCCUAACACAUGCAAGUCGAACGGCAGCACAGUAAGAGCUUGCUCUUACGGGUGGCGAGUGGCGGACGGGUGAGGAAUACAUCGGAAUCUACUUUUUCGUGGGGGAUAACGUAGGGAAACUUACGCUAAUACCGCAUACGACCUACGGGUGAAAGCAGGGGAUCUUCGGACCUUGCGCGAUUGAAUGAGCCGAUGUCGGAUUAGCUAGUUGGCGGGGUAAAGGCCCACCAAGGCGACGAUCCGUAGCUGGUCUGAGAGGAUGAUCAGCCACACUGGAACUGAGACACGGUCCAGCCUCCUACGGGAGGCAGCAGUGGGGAAUAUUGGACAAUGGGCGCAAGCCUGAUCCAGCCAUCCCGCGUGGGUGAAGGAGGCCUUCGGGUUGUAAAGCCCUUUUGUUGGGAAAGAAAAGCAGCAGGUUAAUACCCCGCUGUUCUGACGGUACCCAAAGAAUAAGCACCGGCUAACUUCGUG